rnacentral:rRNA from 1 species
UACAGAGGUCCCGAGCGUUGUUCGGAUUCACUGGGCGUAAAGGGUGCGUAGGUGGCGAGGUAAGUCGGAUGUGAAAGCUCGGAGCUCAACUCCGAAAUGGCAUUGGAAACUACCUUGCUCGAGGGUUGGAGGGGGGACUGGAAUACUUGGUGUAGCAGUGAAAUGCGUAGAUAUCAAGUGGAACACCAGUGGCGAAGGCGGCCCACUGGAUCGGUACUGACGCUGAGGUGCGAAAGCGUGGGGAGCAAACAGG